rnacentral:lncRNA from 1 species
UCCUAUUCUUAGCCUCGGUUCCUCAACUCUUGCACCAGCUAUCUCUCCCUUCCUUGCGUUUGUUGGUUUGUUCGUUUAUGUUUAGCAGCUGAUGGAGUUAAUCAGCUUCCUCUCCUCACCUCCAGUUCCACUCCCUCGGUUGGUUUUAGAAAGAAAGAAAGAAAGAAAGAAAGGAAGGAAGAAAGCUGCCUUGUUUUUUCUUCCUCUCGGUCACCGCCCAAGCUAGCAGAUUAGUUUCUAUUUGUUUCCUCUCAGUCACCGUCUGGACUUAGCAGAUGAUUUCUCUUUGUUUUCUCUCUUUCGGUCACUGCCUACUCAGCAAAUUGGUAGUAUAUUCCUUCCUGGCAGCUGUCUUAAUAGGAGUUACUCACCGCCCAAACUAUCAGCCAAUUUCUACUCAUUUUCCCUUCCACCGCUUAAACUUAGCAGAUGGUUAUCUAGCUUCCGUUCGGUUCCUGUUUUGUCAAAAUUCUAGUAGUUUGUUCCUUAGUUGCAUCGUAGUUUAACCGAAUCUCCAAGAUUGGUCCGGUCCUUUAGUUUUGGUUCAUUUGUUUGCUACGAGUCCAUAAUUUUAUUGUCUCAUACAUUGAUUCCAAAUUUCGUUUAUUCUAAUUUGUAUGUACCUUGGAAAAUUUUUCCUACAUUGGUCUAGUAGAAUUUCACACAUUUGGCUUUAAGGAAAAUUAAUUAGUCAUGUAACUUAUUCAACUAUAUAAUAAAUUCUAAUGACACAAAUUGGCAAUAAGUCUAUCAUAUAUUUGUUUGGUUCCUAAAAUUUUUCUACACCAUUCUAUUAUUUGUUUAUUAUGAUAUAUAUAUAUUUUAUCCUUACCAUUAUUAUUAUUAUUAUUAUUUUCUAAAUUUCAAUUUAAUAGGAAUUCAAUUAUGCAUUUAAUUUAACCAUUUAUUUGUUUUAUAUAAUAUUUCUAAUGAUAAGUUAAAUAUAAUGAAAUAAAUUCGAAGUAUGCACAUAAAUUUCCGAGUUCUCACAUCCUUCUCCCCUUAAGAAAAUUUCUUCCUCGAAAUUUCGUACCUUUAAUCGUAAAAAGUUCCAGGUAUUCUUUCCACAUUUUGUUCUCCAGUUCUCAUGUCAUUUCUUCCAUUCCAUGAUGCUCCCAUAGGACUUUGAUUAAAGGAAUUUAUUUAUUCUUCAAUCCCUGUUUUUGAAAUAACAUGCCCCAGAAACAAUAUUUUCUCCAUUCGAAAUUCACACUUACAAUUGACGCUUCCUUAAAGUCGAUAACACUAUCUUUAGAUUCUAUUCAUGAUCUUCCUUCUUAAUUCUCCAUUGAUAGUAUCGUUGUCAAAAAUCUAUCUUAGAAAACACCAUUGGCCCUUGCAACAAUUAUAACAUCGUUAUAAGCUCAACUUUCAAUCUCUCCUCUUUUUUUUUUUCUCCAAUCUUAAUCUCAUAGUUUCUAUACACCACUUUGGUUACCAAAUUUCACUCAGGUUAGUAAUUAUUAAUCCCAAGGACUAAUAAAUAUUACAGCAUUAUAACAAAAUAAACAUAUGAUCAUCAAAUUACAUACACACAAUCUAAGUUACAUUACACACCAACUUCAUACAACUUUAAAAGCCAAACAAUUCACGGAUACAUUCAACAUUUUCAUACAUAACUCAAACUUCAAUCCUUAUAAACAUGAAAGAAAACAAUUCAAUAAUACAUAAAUUAUUAUAACCACACAGCUAAUAGCUCAACCCUUAGUUUAGACUCAACUUAAACUUCAUUAAUCUAAUUUUGGACAGUCCCACUAGACCCAAUUUCUUCUUCUGGUUCUACUUCCAUAGGUUCCUCUUCCUCGGGAUCUUUCUCUGCCGGUUCGGCUUCACCUUCGACUCUAGGAGCCUCUACACCCUAACUUUCCCUAUUUAGAUUCUCCCCCACAAGCUCUUCCAUCAACACUUCACAUUCAGCUAGAAUCCCUUUAGUUCGGUCUCUUACCUAUCUUAGUACCCUAGUGAGACGGUCUUUAGUCUCCUGCAACUGAUCAUACAAGACAUUAGUUCACUCUUGCUCCUCUAUCAUAUCAGUUUCCUACUUUAGGAUCCUAUCACGUCACAUCCUUAUGAAUUUCCUCAUUUCUUACAUUCUAAUAUGAGCUCUCUCAUUUGCUAUUACUAAUCUCUGUCUUUUACCCAUUUGAACUAGUAUCACUCGAUCCAGAUAGAAGUAAGUUCUUGAACAGUCACAGUGACUAGUCAUUCAAUGCCCUAGAACACACUGCCGAAAGGAUACACCUGGUCCUUACUUAAAAACUAUUUCACUCAAAUUUCAGGUCAGAAAACCAUAUUUUUAGGCAAGAGUUGGCAUAUGAUCUAUUUACUAUCGCAGGCUAAUAAAAUUAUUCACCUUAAGAUGGAGGAUUUGCACUAAUAUUCAAGAUCUCACCACAACCUCUUCACCCUUAGCUCUCAAAAGCUAGCCUUGGUCUCGUUAAUUCUAUUUCUUCAAUUUAAAUCGUGAUUUCUGAUCACGUCAUAAUGCAAUAUACUAAAUUCUUCCUAAUUUGUAAAUACACCAUUGAAUGAAAUAUCUGGUACUUGGGUACAAGAAUCUGAAAAUAGGAUAAUUCAUAGCCUAGGUUGGCCAGUCCCAAGAGUAAAUUACCCAUAUUUGAGAUUCCUACCUGAUGUACUUAUCUAAUCCCCUUAGCAAUAGUAAUUAAUUCAACACUUAAAAGGUCAAUCCCCACAGUUCGAGAACCCUCUCCCGGCUUGACCUCAUUAAGAGCUUUGAUACCACCUGUGACGACCCGCCCUCCUCCUAGGACGUACCCUAGAAGUUAGCGGACCGCCUGCCUGGCUCUCGUCAGGACUCAUUUAUUUACAUUAACUUCAAAGAUAACAUUUCUCAUUAAUCAUCCAAACAUCCAUUCUUAAUACUUCUUAGUAAGACAAAAGCUUUGUCCACUACAAAUUACAAAAGUAAAUCAUCCAAACGUUCAUUCUUAAGUAUAUCACCCAAGUACAUCACCAACUAGUGUAAAAUAUAAAUCUACCCAUUAAGAGAUGCAAAAUGCAGGUCUUAUCAUCAAUAUAACACUCUAACUCUAUUUGAUCGUCCUUCAAACUUCAACUCCUGUAAGGAAAACAAAGCUAAAAGGUUGAACUAAUGCUCAGUGAGGUUUCCAUGCAAGCAACAAUCAAUAAACAUUUAAACCAGAUAAGCCAGUAACAAAAUUAAGCAAUUAAAGAACACUUCACUGAAUCAAGUAGAGAACACUUCACUGAACAUUCACUUUUAAAAAGGAUACAGUGCUCGCAUUAGAAACUUCAAUGCACUACACACUCCACCGAACUCCUCCUUAUAACCUCCAAAACAAUAAACACUUCCCUCACUUAGAUGGCCAUAUCAACAUCAGUAAUCUGCUACUCCUUGGUAAUACUCGAGCAUACCAAUACACUUACCCAAAGCUACCGUCCUAUCCGACAAGCCCUUUUGCUGGCUCGAGUAGUCCGUUGAACAAAGGGUUUUGGGGCUCAGUUCAGCCGGUGUGGUAAAGUACACACAUGGCUUACAGUCAUGCACAUUUACAAUAACACUUGAUCAAUUAUCAACCUUCAAGUUCAAACUAAGUCGAGUGCGAUAAUGUACACUCCCGACUUAGAAGGCAAGGGACAAUUGAGAUAUACUUUACAAUGAAUCACUAGCAAUAUUCCAUAAUAAGCACAUUUAUCACAUAAUUUCACUUAAGUAAACAUAAACAGUUAAACACACAAAUCCGGAAACACUCACCAAGUUUCCAAAUAAAUUACUCUUGAGCCUCGAGUUUGUUUCCUGAGUCACAGCUAUUCCCUGAGAUAAGUGUAUAAGUCCAAAGUAAAUAUACAAUUUGUAGAUAUUCAUUUAUUAUUUAUUACCCUAUUAUCGGAACUAUUAAAAUCAAGUUUGACUUUAAAAUACAAAAUAUAAUAUAUUCAAUAUUUAUUCUACAUUUUAUUUCGAACUUUAUUGACUUUAUCAUUUUAACAAAGAAAUAUACACAUUUUCUAAGGUUAUGAUUUAUAAAUAUUUAAAUUAGGAUUAAAUCAUUUCUCACUCUAUAUCUUAAAGUUAAAAUAAAUAAACUUUUCAUCCUUCUCUUCUUCUUUUUUUCCAAAUCAAAUUCUAAGUUGUCUAUGAUUUAAGUUUUGUAUAAACUUAUUAGUUUUCUUGUUUAAGUUUCUUAAAUGUUCAUAAGCGGAGUUUCACAACGAAUUAGCUUAAAAUUUCAAGAUUCCAUAAAAGUUUCAUUUCUCCCUUCAUCCGGUCAGCAUAAACAAUAUUUUAGCUCAAAUGUUCCUUAACCUACAACAACUCCACUUUUUAAUUGCUUAAACUUUAGUCACCUAGUAUACAUUUCAUUCAAGGUGAAUAACUCAUAAUUUCAGCAUGUCGGUCGCCCACAUCAUAUACAAAAUUUGUCAUCUUCAAUCGCAACCAUUAACUAGGCUUUCUAGCAAUGUAUCGGUCCAAUAUUCGGUACAUUUCCCUCAAAUCUUUCCUUUCACUCUCAUGUCCCAACUAGACAAGUUAAUUACAUUUAUUAAGCUACAAAGUAGCAUUGUACAGAACGUGGAAAGUUUUGCAGCUUACUUAGAGGAAAAAACUGAUCAACUCUUCCUUCUUUCUCUCGCCAUAAGGUAAUUCAGCAGCACAUUUCAUAGUUUUCCUCUCAUUUGCCUUAGUUUAACUCUACUCACGAAACUAGUCAUAGUCACUAAAUCACAGAGCAACCUUAGUUCUACCUGUGGAAGUUCACAGAGCCAGAAAUUAAAAGAAUGGCUGCUCUACAAGCUGAUUUCCUUCCCUUUUUUUUCUAUCCUAACAGAUUGUACCAACUUCCUUUUGUCAAAUUUUAGUUAAGCUUCCUGAAGUUUUCUGAUUUCCAAGGCACCUAUCUGUUAAGGUAAAGAAUUAACAUAUCUCAUGCGGUUGUUAGUAAGUGUUUCCAAUAUAUUAACAACAAGUUGCAUAUUCUGUUUCAUUUCCUCGGCCAACCUAUCUGUAGUAAAUUGAACUCAUUCUUCCUUCAAUGUUCACUUCAGUUUAUACUUGUUUCUGUCAUGCUCGAAGAAGUCAAGAUGCUUUACAAUACAUUACAGCUUAAUACGAAAUUUAAAACCAAACUUUGCAGAAGACCGCUAGAGUUUCUUCACUUCUUUUCUCUCGGAUGAGGCUAUAAGGAUUUCAGCAGGUUUCUUUCUUUCUUUUCCACUCAAAGUUUCAACUUUCACAAGUUUCUAUAGCUAAAAUUCACUUAAUGGCUUCCAUUUUUCCAUUGAUAACAAGCUGCAAUUCAUUUAGCCAUCUCUCAGUUCCCACAGAUUCAGUCCAGCUUCAAUUUUAUUCCUUCAUCAGAUUUUUCCUCAGUUAAAACUUAUUUUUCCUUGCUAAAAACUAACAUGCAGCCCAUAUAUUCAGUGAUACUCUGUAAAUAAAAGAAGGUUACAAAGAGUUUUACCUUUCUCCUUUAAGUUUUAACGGUUGCAGGUUGCUCCUAUUCUUAGCCUCGGUUCCUCAACUCUUGCACCAGCUAUCUCUCCCUUCCUUGCGUUUGUUGGUUUGUUCGUUUAUGUUUAGCAGCUGAUGGAGUUAAUCAGCUUCCUCUCCUCACCUCCAGUUCCACUCCCUCGGUUGGUUUUAGAAAGAAAGAAAGAAAGAAAGAAAGGAAGGAAGAAAGCUGCCUUGUUUUUUCUUCCUCUCGGUCACCGCCCAAGCUAGCAGAUUAGUUUCUAUUUGUUUCCUCUCAGUCACCGUCUGGACUUAGCAGAUGAUUUCUCUUUGUUUUCUCUCUUUCGGUCACUGCCUACUCAGCAAAUUGGUAGUAUAUUCCUUCCUGGCAGCUGUCUUAAUAGGAGUUACUCACCGCCCAAACUAUCAGCCAAUUUCUACUCAUUUUCCCUUCCACCGCUUAAACUUAGCAGAUGGUUAUCU